CCUACGGGUGGCAGCAGUCGAGAAUCAUUCACAAUGGGGGAAACCCUGAUGGUGCGACGCCGCGUGGGGGAAUGAAGGUCUUCGGAUUGUAAACCCCUGUCAUGUGGGAGCAAAUUAAAAAGAUAGUACCACACGAGGAAGAGACGGCUAACUCCGUGCCAGCAGCCGCGGUAAUACAGAGGUCUCAAGCGUUGUUCGGAAUCACUGGGCGUAAAGCGUGCGUAGGCUGUUUCGUAAGUCGUGUGUGAAAGGCGCGGGCUCAACCCGCGGACGGCACAUGAUACUGCGAGACUAGAGUAAUGGAGGGGGAACCGGAAUUCUCGGUGUAGCAGUGAAAUGCGUAGAUAUCGAGAGGAACACUCGUGGCGAAGGCGGGUUCCUGGACAUUAACUGACGCUGAGGCACGAAGGCCAGGGGAGCGAAAGGGAUUAGAUACCCUUGUAGUC
rnacentral:rRNA from 1 species